CACGGGGGGAGCAAGCGUUGUCCGGAAUUACUGGGCGUAAAGAGCUCGUAGGUGGUUUGUCGCGUUGUUCGUGAAAACUCACAGCUUAACUGUGGGCGUGCGGGCGAUACGGGCAGACUGGAGUACUGCAGGGGAGACUGGAAUUCCUGGUGUAGCGGUGGAAUGCGCAGAUAUCAGGAGGAACACCGGUGGCGAAGGCGGGUCUCUGGGCAGUAACUGACGCUGAGGAGCGAAAGCGUGGGGAGCGAACAGG
rnacentral:rRNA from 1 species